UACGUAGGGUGCGAGCGUUGUCCGGAAUUAUUGGGCGUAAAGAGCUUGUAGGCGGUUUGUCGCGUCUGCUGUGAAAAUCCGGGGCUCAACCCCGGACUUGCAGUGGGUACGGGCAGACUAGAGUGUGGUAGGGGAGAGUGGAAUUCCUGGUGUAGCGGUGAAAUGCGCAGAUAUCAGGAAGAACACCCGUGGCGAAGGCGGCUCUCUGGGACGGUACUGACGCUGAGACGCGAAAGCGUGGGGAGCGAACAGG
rnacentral:rRNA from 1 species